rnacentral:lncRNA from 1 species
AAAUGAGAUGUGAGCAAAAGGGAUGAGUGUAAUUUCUGAUCUGCAACCCUAGAAAGCACUGUGCCUGCUUCCUCUGCCUACUGGCUGGGAGAUGCUGAGAGUUUUAACAUCCCCCUUUGUCCCAAAGAUGGAUACUACUCACUCUGGAAGGCAGAGCUAUCCUACCAGCCCUGGACUGCUCAGCCCUAGAUUUUUACACGAGGUAUAAAUAAAUAUAUGAUAUUCAGGUCACUGAAUAUGUAUUUUGGGGUCAGCUUAACCUAUACUCUAAUUUUACAGCUCCAGUGUGCCAUACAAAUACUACCAUUUUCUGGUUGUGCCAUGAUGAAGGCUGGGAAGCACUAUGACCUGGACCGUUUGUUCUUGGUCCCUUUUGCUGACCCUUCCUUCUCACUGCCAUCAAGAGGGCAAUCCUUUCCUCCACACCAUCCAGGUAGUUAGCUUAUUCUGGUCCCAAAGAUAAAGGUUGAAUACCCCAACUCUUGCAGAAAAUUUGAGCAUAUGUUGGCCACAGGAAGCCAUUGCCUUGCCUUGGGUAGCACCUGGGAUAAAGGUUGGUGAGCCCUGGUGCUCAAAAUCCCCAAAUAUGGCCCCUCCCAGGGGCCCAACACCCAUGAAAGACUGUACUUGCAUCAUGGGUUGUCCUAACACAGAAUUCCCUCUCCCAUCCUAGCUGGGAGUCAGGAGUUCCACCUCCUCCAAAGAGACAUUUCAUUGUUGUUCCCUCAAGUCCUCAUGGUCUCUCUCUCCUGCUCUGGCUGGCUUGGGACAAACUGAACCUCCCACUUUAUCUUCCAGCCUCUGAGCACCGUUAUGAUGCAGUGAGCUGCCCAAAUUAAGGUGCACUGCAGAUCUGACUUCUUGGCUUGUCCGUUCCCUUGGACAUGCAUCCUCAGGGCGCUCCUCUCCCAGGAGGAGCCUCCCACCCCUGGGGCUUCCUCACAGUAACACUUUCGAGCUGAGGUGGUGAGCAGGAGCUCCUUGAACCCUCCCUUCCUCCAUCUGAAGAGCUUGUUCCUUUCCACCUCUGACUUCCGUGCCCUCCGUUCCUCCUCUCCCCGCAUCGCCCCUUCCCUGUGCAGGGGCAGCGGUUGGGGCCUCAGCCUUAGUUCUUCCAGCUGGACCCUGGCAUAGUGCGGGGCUGUGGCUCUGGGAAGUAUCUCGGCCUGCACGCGAUUUGCAUCACUGCACAGGCCUCGCCCUCCGAACUACGAGCCCCAGAGCUCUUCGCGCCAGGCGUUUCCCGCCUUUCCCCUGUAUCGGGUCAUUACCCAGAGGCCACUGCGGGCUGGUCCUGCCUGGCCAUGGAGCUGCGACCCCCGUGUUCUCAGGGUGAAGGAGGACGUGCGAGGCGGUGCUGCUUGUAUGCGGGAGAACCAGGUAGGGGGCUGCAUGCUUCAUAGAAGCCAGCCUGUGCCAACCGGGAGCUGUAGGACGGUCUGUGUCUGGGGCUGCCUAUGGGUAUGUUCGCGUGCGUCUGCCGGUGCGCCUUCCGAGCCUGCUCAGGAGAGCGUGUGUCUUCUGUCUUGUGUUGCUAUGAGGUUUGCAUCUGUGUGGCUGGAAUAGCUUGUUUGUGGGGGCCCGCGCGUCACCAGUGUGUGCGUUACCGUGUGUGCCUCAGGCAGGAUUGUGACGGGCCGUGUGACUGUGACGCCAUCAUCAGGUUGGUGAGAUGGCGUGACCGCGUGCUGCGUAUCCGUCUCCUGUGUGUUCAUCCACCAUCUUGGUAAUGGUGGUAAUGGCUAACACUGCAGGGGCCAAGGAUGAGAUCUUGGCAUUCAGCCUGUGAUAGUCUUUGGUCAGCUUCCGUGCCUGGGAGGCCCUUUGGCCAGCCACGCCCGGCUGUUAAAUUGUGACAAAGUAGUAUAAAGCACUGCUUGCACAGGGUCAUGGAUUAAAAGGGUAACGUCUGGGCCCGGCGUGGUGGCUCACGCCUGUAAUCUCAGCACUUUAGGAGGCCGAGGUGGGCGGAUUACGAGGUCAAGAGUUUGAGAGCAGCCUGGCCAACAUGGUGAAACCCCGUCUCUACUAAGAAUACAAAAAUUAGACUGGCUUGGUGGCGCGUGCCUGUAACAAUCCCAGCUACUCGGGAGGCUGAGGCAGGAGAAUCGCUUGAACCCAGGAGGUGGAGGUUGCAGUGAGCCGAGAUCGCGCCACUGCACUCCAGCCUGGGCGACAGAGCAACACUCUGUCUCGGAAAAAAAGAAGAAAAAAAAAAAAA